GGUGAGAUGGCCGAGUUGGUUAUGGCGCCAGGUUAAGGUCCUGGUGGUGAAAACCGCGUGGGUUCGAGUCCCACUCUCAUCA
rnacentral:tRNA from 1 species